rnacentral:rRNA from 1 species
UACGUAGGGUGCGAGCGUUAAUCGGAAUUACUGGGCGUAAAGCGUGCGCAGGCGGUUUUGUAAGCCAGAUGUGAAAUCCCCGGGCUUAACCUGGGAAUGGCAUUUGGGACUGCAAGGCUGGAGUGCGGCAGAGGAGACUGGAAUUCCUGGUGUAGCAGUGAAAUGCGUAGAUAUCAGGAGGAAUACCGAUGGCGAAGGCGGGUCUCUGGGCCGUAACUGACGCUGAGGAGCGAAAGCGUGGGGAGCGAACAGG